rnacentral:rRNA from 1 species
UACGUAGGGACCAAGCGUUGUUCGGAUUUACUGGGCGUAAAGGGCGCGUAGGCGGCACGGCAAGUCAGGAGUGAAAGCCCUGGGCUCAACCCGGGAACUGCUUUUGAAACUGCCGAGCUAGAGUGCGGAAGGGGCAACUGGAAUUCCCAGUGUAGCGGUGAAAUGCGUAGAUAUUGGGAAGAACACCUGAGGCGAAGGCGGGUUGCUGGGCCGACACUGACGCUGAUGCGCGAAAGCCAGGGGAGCGAACGGG